UUGCUGUCGCGCUGGUCGGAAAGUCUGGGUAGGGCUUCCCCGAACGGGGGCCGUCCGACUGCGAGCUUCCGCAAAGUCAGACGCAUUUGUCUCCCGCUCCGAGGACGCCGCAGCCGGUCGGGCAGUGAAAACGUGACGGCCUGGAAGGCGGACGAUGGCAGGUGGCCGGUCGCCGGAUGCUAGCCAGUCCGUCGGUGGCCCGUCGCUCGACCGAGGUGUCGAAACGCCCUCCGGGGCUCUCUCGCCUCCUCCUCUUGCAGGAAGCCGGGACAGAUCGUCGCGAGCGAAGGCAAACGCGCCGCCGCACUCCGUCGGAGUGGGCGAGCGAACUGCGGGCGCCGACCGCGAUGACGGACCCGUCGGAGGUUGGAGGUUGGCGGCGAGUAGGUCGGUCACCCACCCGACCCGUCUUGAAACACGGACCAAGGAGUCUAACAUGUGCGCGAGUCAAUGGGUCUCGAACAAGCCCAGAGGCGCAAUGAAAGCGAAGGUCGUCCACCGAGUCGGGAUCCCCAGUUCAGACGACUGGGGCGCACCGACGACCCGUCUUAUUCGGCUCGCCGUGUGGGCGGAGUGUGAGCGUACACGUUGGGACCCGAAAGAUGGUGAACUAUGCCCGGGCAGGACGAAGCCAGAGGAAACUCUGGUGGAGGUCCGCAGCGGUUCUGA
rnacentral:rRNA from 1 species